ACUAGUUUAGUCUUUUGAGCAGUGCAUGGUGGUGUAUUUUGAGUGGUUUGAAAUGAAGGAGGAAUAUUUGUCGCAUGAUACCUGACCCAGUGAAGUGAGGGAUAAUGGGACACCACUCCUCUGACAGCUAGGAGGACAGCCAUAGCAGGAGGAAGAAGAAGGAAAAUCACGGAAGGCGCUCCUAUUCCUCCAGCUCCUCCGGCAGCCAGGUGACCAGCCACAGAAAGAGGUCCAGCAGCUGCUCCAGAGACAGAGACAGGAGACGCAGGCGGCGGUCCAACAGCAGCUCGUUCCGAAGGAGGAGGGAGUGGAGAUGGAGACCGAGGCAGGACCAACCGCUCCCAUAGGACAUGCAGCCGCACCCGCAGGUCUCGUGAGCGGCGGCGUUCUCGCAGCAGGAGCAGCGGCCGGUCCAGCCGCAAGAAGAGCCGCAGCCACAGCCGAGACCGCAGCCGGCUGAAGGGCCGCGACAAAGACAAGGAGAAGAACAGGGACCGAGACAAUGGCAGGGACCGAGACAAGGGCAGGGACUGAGACGAGGGCCGGGACCGAGACAAGGACAGAGCCAAAGCCAAGAGGUCCGACAAACAAGGGGACAGCGCCAUCAAAGCAGCAUGAGAACAUCUGGCUGCCGAGCGGAUCAGUGUCCUCUGUGUGUGGAGAUAAUGGACUAGAGGGAGGGAGGCUGGAGGAGCAGCAGAGAGAGAGAGGCCUCUACCAGGUCCUCAUUUAGGCCCCGACACCUGACGUACACAGGCACACCUGCAGAACAGGCCAAGGCUCAACUCCAGCUGGUGUUGCAGCCAUAACAGAUGAGGUACUGAAAGCCAAGAAGAGGAAGGACGAGGAGGCCAAGAAGAUGAAGGUGAGCCUGGUCCAUGUCAUCAAUUUAGUAGUGGAGGUGGUACUAUAGGUGGACUGUGUAGCAUGAUGUACUACAGUACCCAUAAUGCUUUGUGUAACAUCAAUACAUACUGGUGGUCUGCAGCUGAGUGGUGGUGAUGUAUGGACUGGCAGGUAGACAGGCGGAUGGGCUGGCAGACAGUAAUAAAGACCGGCACACAGACAGACCAGCGAGCAAUUGCCAAACUUCUUUAGACAUGAGUUACAGUGCCACAGUUCAGAAAGUGUUCACACACCUUUUUCUACAUUUUGUUACAAAGUGGGAUUAACAUGUAUUUAAUUGUCACUUUUUGGUCAACGAUCUACACAAAAUCUACACUGUAAUGUCAAAGUGAAUGAAAAAUGAUAAAAUCUGUAAAAAUAAAAUAAAAAAGUAAAACCAUGAAAAAUGAAACACUAAUAUCUUGAUUAGAUAAGUAUUCUACCCCCUGAGUCAGUACAUGUUUAGAAUCACCCUUGGCACUGAUUACAGCUGUGAGUCCUUCUGGUUAAGUCUCUAAGAGCUUUCCACACCUGGAUUGUGCAACAUUUGCCCUUUUAUUAUUUUCUAACUUAUUCUGAUCUUUGCUAAACCAUUUUCAGGUCUUGCCAUAUAUUUUCAUGCAGAUGUAAGUUGAAACUGUAACUGUCUUCUUGAUAAGCAACUCCAAUGUAGAUUUGGCCGUGUGUUUUAGGUUAUUGUCCUGCUGAAAGGUGAAUGAAUCUCCCAGUGUCUAGCGGAAAGCAGACUGAACCAGGUUUCAAGCAGAUUGACAGUUAUAUUUCCUUGCAUAACCUAUUCUAUGAGCUCCAAUCUGGCUUCAGGAAAUCCCAUUCCACUGACACCUGCCUACUAUAUCUGACAGACCACAUAAGAAAGGAAGUAGAUGGAGGGAAAUUUUGUGGUAUGGUUAUGUUAGUUCUCCAAAAGGUGUUCGAUACAGUGGAUCGUGAGAUUCUGUUAAUCAAACUAAGAGCCAUGGGCUUUAACAACUUAGCAGUAAAAUGGGUCACCUCUUACCUGCAAGGAAGAAAACAGAUGGUGGAUGUGACCCUGUCUAAACCCCAAAUCUUGAACUGCGGUGUACCCCAAGGGAGUUUGCUGGGUCCACUUUUACUUAUAUUGUAUAUAAAUGAUAUGAAAUCUGCCUGUACAUGUGACCUUUUCCUAUAUGCAGAUGAUUCUGCACUGUUGGUUUCCCACAAAGACAAAAAUGUGGUUGAAAAAGCCCUCAGUGCUGAAUUUUUUUAAAUGUACCUUUAUUUAACUAGGCAAGUCAGUUAAGAACAAAUUCUUAUUUUCAAUGACAGCCUAGGAAUAGUGGGUUAACUGCCUUGUUCAGGGGCAGAACUACAGAUUUGUACCUUGGCAGCUCGGGGGUUCCAACUUGCAACCUUUCGGUUACUAGCCCAACGCUCUAACCACUAGGCUACCCUGCCGCCCCAUUUCAGUAAAUGGCUAUAUGACAAUAAGCUGUCACUUCACCUUGGAAAACAGAGUCCAUCUUGUUCGGGUCCAAAUUCAAACUGAGGAAAUCCACAGAUUUUAAGGUGGAAGUAGGUGACAUAGUAGUCGCAGCAAAAGACUGUUAAGUAUCUUGGAUGUGUGCCAGAUAACCAUCUGACAGGGGAGAGCAUGGCACAAAAUGUUAUCGCCAAAGUGAACCAUAAAAUUAGGUUCCUGGCUAGAACCUCCAAAUAUCUGGAUAAGAAUGCAAUGGGGACAUUGGCAGGGGCUCUUGUUCAGUGCCACUUCGACUAUGCAUGCUCUUCCUGGUACAAUAGUGCCCUCAGGAUAUUAAAAAAUACAUUUGCAGACAUCUCAGAACAAAUUAGUCUGGAUUAUUCUUAAACUUCCAGCACUUACGCAUCUUGACUAUUCCCACUUUGAAAGCCUUAGAUGGCUUAAAGUGGACGAGAGAGUUGCUCAGAUAAAAUUGUGUCUUGUACAUCAGAUUGUCCACAAUAUAGUCCCCAGAUACUUAUGUAACUACUUUAACUUAGUAAGGGAUAACCAGAACUAUUCAACUAGAAGGAGGGAUUUAGAUUAAAUUUAGAUUUAAAAGUGGUAUGGGGAAACAAACAUUGUUAUAUUCGGCUGCCAAUUCUUUGGAAUAAUCUUCCAAAGAAUUUGAAACGUAAAACCUCCAUAGGUAGUUUCAAGUUCUCACUGAAACAAUUGCUAAAUAGUAGCAUGUCUCAAGAGUGAGUGGUAAGAUUAAAGUAGGUGGUGGAGAGGGAAAUGCCCAGGAUAGCAUAUGGUCUGCCUUUUUGGUGCCUGUGAUUUAUUAUAAUGUGAUUGUCUUGUGUGUAUAUUAGGGAUUGAUUGUUUAUAUAUUAAGGGUAUGUGAGACAAAGAAGAUGUACCUGUCCAUAGAUGUUUAUUAGGAACAUUAUCGGUUGCUGUGAAACAAACAAAAAUGGUGUCUGUCAUUGUCUGUUGUCAUUACACUCGCCGCCUAACCUUGUUCUAUUCCCCCUUUCCCUCUUCAGAAGGACCACAAUGGAAAUAAGCUGUUAAGCUUUAUUGUGUUAUCCUUGAUGAUUUUCUUAAAUUGAAUGUGGAGGCGUCACCAGCUGGAGCCCCCUUAUGUAUGGAUUUUUACAAAUUGUCAAAUAAAUUCAAUCAAUCAGUUC